UAACACUAAAAAAAAAAACCUGAAAGUGAAGCACCAAAAUAAAGCCAUUUCAGAUCAAGCUACCAUGGCUUUUGUAGAAUAGUUGACCUGGGAUAGAAUUUUAAAAAUUGAUUUUAAAAAAAACUAUUAAGAAAAUAAACUACAUUUCUGAGCUCUUUCCAAUUUCUGUCAUUAGAGAUCUAUGACAUAAGUCUGAAUCACAGAGGUGACAAAUUCCAGGCCCCAAAAGGAAACCAUAUCUUCAUCAAACUCCACUGGAGAAACAAAAUUAACGAAGGUCUGCUGAUUAUCAGCACAUCAUAAAGGCUCUUCUCUGCAGCAGCCAUAAGAACCUGGAUGGGUAAGAAGGGUUUCCAUGCCAUGCUGGAUGCUCAGAUUUUUGGGACAAUUCCAACAUAUCUGGGACAGGGAGGUGCCAUCCUUGGGGGCUGUGGCUCCAUCAGCAGAUCCAGAGCACCCCUGUGGUCAAGAUGCUGAAUCUAAUCACGUUCUCCAUUUCUGGGCCAUAUUUUAUUAAACAUUUUCAUCACUUUGAACUGCGCAUUCCUGCCUCCCCAGAUUUAUAUCUGUAAUUAGGGGAUCGUUAUUUACCAGCUGGUACAAAGACACCUUUCAGCAACAUCAUUCAAAUGUCAGGAGUUACUGCCAGUUCCAGAUGAAUAGUACACUUAUUUCUUUGGCUACAGGUCAGGAACGUGGCUGCUGUCAGGAACCUUUGGAAACUGUUCAGAAAUGCUGGGAAACAACUAUUUGUUGAAGAAAACCAGUUAUUUGUGAAGGAAAGCGAUCCUUCUCCCAGAUCUAAGUUCGGGCUGAAAUCCUGGAAACAACCACAGCCUCACCAAAUGCAGCAGCACCGGUGUCAGCCCAGCACGGCCACUUCGCAGAUGUCACCUCUCUGCUCCCCUGCCCGUGCUCCAGCAGGAAGUUUGGGCUGAUGAUGACUGUGUUCACAGAAUCACAGCAUGAUCGCAGUUGAAAAAGACCUCCAGGAACAUCGAGUCCAACCUUAAAUGUUCCUUAGAUUUGAACAAAUCCACGAUUUCACUAGUAUAGAAAUGGAAAAUUAACUCUAGAACACUCCAAUAUAAAGAGUUCCAGCCUAGUUCUGGUGAGGUUUAAGCAGACAUUUCAAGUAAUUCAUGUUUGGAAUGCCUUUAUAACUUUUGCCUCAUAAAAACAGAAAAGGACUUAAAGUAAUGGUAAAAAUUCCCAUUUAGGAAGGGAAGAUUCUCCUUCUUGGCAGUGAGGAAAAGGGAAACUUGCUGUGUUUGAAGAGGAUUGUCAGUGGUUACUUUGAUUUCCAACAUUAACUCAGCACAUCUCAAUCCAGCCCGCUCCCAGGCGUUGCUCCGGUGGGAAGUUGGUGAUUUAUGGGGUGGAAUUUGAAUUCCAUGUCUUGUUUAGGAGCACUAAAAGCUCCUGCCCACUCCUGUGGCUCCCCAGGGCCAAGGCUGGGCAGGCUGUGCCCUCUGGAAGCGCUGGGGCUGCCUCAGGUAACCCCUGCUGCUGAGCCACCGGCUGCAAAUGGAAAAACAGAACACAGGAGGGCUUCUUCCUCCCUAAGUGCUCUCAUGGGGCUGCCUGUCUUUUACUUCUUCCUCUCUUCUCCAAAAUGCCUUUUUUUUUUUAUUUUUUUCCCCCUCAAAGAGCAUGAAAAGGAAAAUUGCUAAUGAGUCAAACCACCAGAAAAAUCAGGGGAUGUCUUGAGGACAUGGAUUUUUCUCUGUGGCUGUGGCAGAGCUGGAGCCCACUCAGUCUCCAGCACAGCCACCCUAAUUAAAUUAACUGUCUGCAAUUAACACACAGCCCAGCAUCACUCCUCUAAUUCAUCUUCUGGUUCUCCAAACUGAACUGCUUUUAAUAAAAACCUUAUAAAAAGCAAUUUUAUUCUUGUCUACUCACACCAACCCUGAGCCACCACUGGUGUGUCUUAAAUAUUCAGUUUGAUUUAGGCAGAGUUGGACCCUGAGCUAAUGGAGGAGCCAGAGUGGGAAUAUGAGACACCUUCUAAACUUAGAGAGAAUGCAGAGCACCAUCAAGGUGGGUAAUUAAAGAGGAAGGAGAGAAACUCUCCAAGUUUAAUACAAAAAUAAAUGAUGGGUUUAGCACUGCUGCAUGAACAUCGCAUUUCCCAGUAGUAAAAGCUUGUGUGUAUCUGGGUCAAGAGAAAAAAAAGCUGCUAAAAUUAAGAAACACUUCUAAGUUUUGGGUUAUUAGAAGUGAGAGAGGUUCAGUGAGAAAUUCUGGAUUGUCAGUGGUGCAAAUGAGGUUUUCCUGACAGGCGGGUGAGUUUCUGUUUGACUUUUUCUUUAAAUAUUUGCAAGAAAAUUAAGGGCAGCGCUUUGGCUCUGCAAAUAUUGACAUCAGGUUUUCCCCUUUCAUUAGCAGGACCAAUAUUUGCUGAACUGAACCCGUGACCCCCAGGGCAAUGCCCAGAGAGAUGGGCCAGGGAUCCUCCAUGCCCUGAGGGGUCGACUGGGGGGAGCAGGAGCUCAGCACUGGCUGCUUUUAGCAGAACUAAAUGGGGAAAUCCUUUCAUUCUGGGCUUUUUCUGUUAAAAUGCACCAAUGUUUGAGUGAGAGAUGUGCUUUUCACCCACAGAUCUCCUGCCUGUAGCUUUCUGGCUGACAUGGGGCUUGUUUCUUCUCCUUUCUGCCGCUGCUUUGGUGCUUCCAAGGGCUCGUGUUGCUUUUGCUGUGCCAGUCUGGUGCUGUGCCCCUUGCUGGUGUUCCCCUCAGCUUUAUAUUUGGAAUUUGAUAUCUAUGGAAAUCUGUGGAAAUCCUUUGAAUUUUUGCAAGCCCUAAUUGAAAUGACAGGUAA